ACAGACUUGUCAGAACAACCUUGCAACAACUCCGAUAAUAUCAACAAGGUUGUUACAAAUUGUUAACAGCUUGUAACAACCUUGUUGAUAUUAUUGGACUUGUUGCAGGGGUGUUCCAACAAUUUUAU
rnacentral:miRNA from 1 species